rnacentral:rRNA from 1 species
ACGUAGGGUGCAAGCGUUAAUCGGAAUUACUGGGCGUAAAGCGUGCGCAGGCGGUUUUGCAAGACAGAUGUGAAAUCCCCGGGCUCAACCUGGGAACUGCAUUUGUGACUGCAAGGCUAGAGUGCGUCAGAGGGAGGUGGAAUUCCGCGUGUAGCAGUGAAAUGCGUAGAGAUGCGGAGGAACACCGAUGGCGAAGGCAGCCUCCUGGGAUGACACUGACGCUCAUGCACGAAAGCGUGGGGAGCAAACAG